GUCCCUGUAGUUCAAAGGAUAGAACAAGGGUUUCCUAAACUCUAGAUUCAGGUUCAAUUCCUGACAGGGAUACCA
rnacentral:tRNA from 1 species